rnacentral:lncRNA from 1 species
UCCAUGGUGUAUUUGUACCCAUGGAUCAUGGAAAUGAAAGGCCAUGUCAAUUAGGGUUUACAUGGUGUAACCCUAACUAUAUAAGCAUCUUAUUCUUGACCAAAAUCGGCACUAGUGUGUGAAAAGAAAGGGCUAGCCGAUUUCAUGAGUUGUAGAAUUCUCUCAAGCUAUUCUAAGUGUUUUGGUGAUUGUGAUUCCAUUUGAGGUGUCACACUUGGGGCACUAGGCACUCAAGCUUCAUGAAGACUUUCUACACCAAAGAGGUAUGUAUUCUAUCUUGCUAUAGUCAUUGUUUUGUAUGCUAGAUUAGGAUAAUACCUUGGAAGUUCUUAUUUGCAUGUAUAAUAGAGAAAACAUAGAUCCAAGGUAUUUAGGGUUGCAUGUACACUUAGGAGUGUUAGAAUGCUCAAAACCCAACAGUGGUAUCAGAGCCUAGGCUUGUUUUCUUGUUAUACCUGCAAUAGAAGCUGAAAAAACGAAUUUGGUGCUGUCUGACCAUCAGACUCGGCGAGUCCAUCAGGAGACUCGACGAGUCCAUGCCUAAAAAGUGAUCAAUUCGAUCCAACUCGCCGAGUUGGUUCAUGCACUCGACGAGUUGGACCCCCAGACAGCAUAUUUUCGAGUUUUUUGGCUAGAAAUGGACUAGGAACAUUACCCUAAGUUGUUUUUGAACUUAUAAACUUGUUUUUGAUGUGGUAAUGUUCAUGCUAAUCCAUUUUCAAAGAUAAUUGUCAAUAGAUUCAUGUUUUGUAUUAGUUUAAGGUUUAGACUAAUUACAUGAAAAAGUUUGAUUUGAAUUAUCUUGUUCUUAUGAGUUGCUUAGAUUAAUAGAAAUGUUAAUUGAAAUAGUUGUUUUCAAUCCAUUUUAAUCUAAGAGUUGAGUAUAAAAUGUGUUUGUGUAACUUGUCCUCAAGUUACAUGAAGAGUCACAUUAAAGACUCAUAAAACUCAUAAAAGUUGGCAAUGGUUACAAAAUGAAGAGUCUUGUGUCAUUGAAUAAUUUUUUUUGACUCCAUAACUUGUCCUCAAGUUAUGGAAGUUCAAGAGUCACUUCAUUAAAGAAAAAUAUGUAACCAUAAUUAAAUCCAUAAGUUAUAAAAUAAAGAAAAAGUUAGUUCUUUUAUUAGUUUAAAGUCUUCCAUAACUUGUCCUCAAGUUAUGGAACUUGAAGAGUUUUUGGAUUAAAACUACUUUAAACACAUAAGUUAUGGAAUUAAUUAGUUUUGAAUAGUUUCAAAACUUGCCCUCAAGUUUUGGAAUUUGAAAAGUUUUCACUUAUGAAUACUUUAAUUCCAAGUUAGCCCUUAGAAUUUUAAAAGUUAAAAUUCAACCCUUAUACUUUAUAAUAUUAUAAGUUAAUAAUAUAUAUAUGUAUAAGAGUAAAGUCAGUCUUACCGCUAGUACGCCUCAUUCACGAAGCCGGUCUAUAAGGUGGGUAUAAGGUUGUUGCCUAUAAAAUGGCAACUUAAUGGGUGUCCACUCUCACCCACCGCUUGCUUGACUGGUGGAGGGUCGUUAGCCGAACGGGUUUGACAGGACUAGAAUUCUCCCUUCAUUAAAAGUAUUAAUGAUAAUACUAAGUAACUAAACUCUUAAUAAUACCCAAUCUUAGUUACUUAGGAAAAAUGUGAAUAAGGUGCUAAUCCAUGAAAUUACACUUUACACUUUGUCUAAGUCGUUAGUGGAGCGUGUGUGGUUAACCGGCACACUAACUUGGACUUAACAAGGUAGGUAAAGGGUGACUUAAUAUUUAUCAUAGUAUCGAUGGAGCGUGUGUGGUUAACCGGCACAUCGAUUGAGGGGUAAUUUAUUAAGGGUACCAAGUGAUUUGCAUGGUUACUUCACACCUUGUUUUGUGAUCCUCGGCAUCCCAGUCACAAAACCUGAAGGGCACACUCGAGAUUGAAACAUGCCUUUGAAAAGUUCAAUGAAUCUCAAAGAUCUAGGAGUUUCAAAACCAAUUAAAACCUAAUAAUACAUUUCGUUUAUCUUGGUGGAAAUUGGUGAAUCGUCAUUCACCUACCUUCAAAUAUUUUAUAGCUUGGAUUACGGCAUACCUCUUCUAAGUUAUAAAAUAGUUUGUUGGGUCCUAGCCUUAAUAUUUCAUAUUGGGUGUCAUAUUAAGGACUUUAAAUCAACUAUCUUGAAUAUCUCCCAAAAGAUGUCUGGUUUAGACACCUAUGAUCUUCCCAAAUCUCUUGAAACAAGGUUUCCUAAUGAAGAUGAUGUCCCAUGGAUAUCAUACUUCUUCACCUCUUCAAAUUAUUCUCCCUAACCCACAAGUUCUUGAAAAGUUUAAGGUCACUCAGGCCCUAUUGGCAAGGCAAGGUCUAGGUGUGGUCACAUCUUGGAGAUGUAGUCACAUAUUGACAAGCCGGGAGAGUUGGGUGUCAAAGUCUUGAGAAAGUUGGUGGUUCAACCACUUUCUAAGUCACAUAGUGAGUUCCUUUGGGACACCUAUGAAACAGACUAUGACAAGACCCUUAAUGAUCUUAUCUAUUUGCUAAGAUCAACUUCCUAAAACUUUAUGGACAUUGACAAUGAUGACAUUGGAUAUCCAGUAAAGCAUUCUCUUCCCAAUGGAAAGGGAUCGGCCAUAGUCAACUCGGUUGACCAAAUGGUAAAGAGAAAAGCUAAGUCUGUGAUAGUCUCGUGUACCAUUAUCAAAGGGUCCAUAUGUUUAUAUUGCCAAAGGAAGGGGCAUUGGUUGCGAAGCUGCCAAAUUUACCUAAGGAUGUUAAAGUCAAUAAGUUUGACUCUACUUCAGGUAAAGUCCACUAUCUAACUCUGUUAAGUUUCUAUUCUGAGAUUCUUGAUACAUGAUGUGACUGGGUCACAUGGUGAUGUUUUAAGAAUCAAAGAAAAGUGAAGAAACUUAAAGAAAGAAUAUGCUGAAUCUGAUGGCGUAGAUGGAUUUCUAUCGCAUAGUUUGAAGAUCGGAUUCUUGAGCUACUUCUUAGGAGUUAUGAGAUAUUGCUUAGGAAUAGAUAACAACAAGUUUUCAUAUGGAUUGUAAGGAUAAGUUUUUCCGCAAAGUUUUAAAAUAAAAGAAAAUUUUUUUUUUUAUUUAUUUUAAAAUAUCCUUACAAUGGCAUUUGAGGAAAAAUUGUUGCUUAUAUGAUUCCAUUAAGAGCAAGAGUGGAAAUAUGAAAUUGAUUCUUUCAUUUGUGGUAAUGUCUAAAUUUACCAAAUAAGGAAAGAUUCUCAUCACCCAAGUUUCAAUUGGACCGGAACUUGGAAUCAUGCAAGUUGUAUAGCAUGAUGAAUGAGAACUUUCAAGUUUUGGAAAAUUAAGACUAAUUACUUGUUCACAUGGAUGUGUGAGUCAAGUAAAGGACUUAGGGAUCGAGUACACAUUCUUGUGCACUGAUUAAGUCCACCACUAAAGAUCGAUAAGAAGAAUCAAAUAAGGCAGAAGGAUAAAAGUUUCUCAAAUCUGAAAAGAUGGGAGAGUACUUUAGUAUCAGUUUUGUGAUCAUCUUAAUGAUUAAGAAACCAUAUCAAAAUUAGUUCUCUAAGGAAAUCUUAGUGCAUUCUUAUGACUAAGAAGAGGAACUUGAAUUGUUGAAAUGGUUAAAUCAAGAAGAUGAGUCAUACUUCGUUCCAAUACAAGUCUUAGAGUCAUACUCCAAGAUUGUCAUUUGAGUGACAUGUCUUAAAGAAGGUUUAAAACACUUGUCAAAUGUAAGAGUAAAAGUUUUCUACUCUUGUACAUUUGAAAUUGGUAAGUUGUGAUGUUUUGGAUAAAACAAAGACCAACUUAGGCCAAUUGGGUAAAGUGUUUUUCUUGAUUAGAAUCCGCACUAUCUCUUGGAUGUUUGACAAGGGAGUCUUAUAUGUCAAGAGGACAGUGGGAGUCUUAAAGGUCUUGAAAGUCUCAAGAAAUAAUCAAGAAUAAAACCUAAAGUUCUUCACUAGCACACGACUUGAGGUUUAUAACCUAUCGUGUUGACAUAUCUGUGCCCAUUCCAGUUAAAGUUGGCUUUGCAUAUGAGUUCUUAGAGUUCUCAGUUUGUUGCAUAACAACUUGGAAGCAAUGGCAGGCCCUUGAGCUGCCAGGUGGCAAGAAGUUAAGAUUGAGUUCAAUCCAUAUGGUUUUGGAUUUGUCAUUAUCUUUGUCUUGUGAUUAUGGUUUGACAAAUUCAUAUGGGUAGGAACUCAUACACCAUAUAAAUCUAAGUGUCAUAAGGUUUCUCUCCGAUUCAUGAAAAUGAUGGUGAGGAAACGCUUUCACUAAGUAGAUUUUACGAAGAUAUCAAUUGUGUUAUUUGCAUUUUCAAAAGUCGUUAGUGGAGCGCGUGUGGUUAACCGGCACACUAACAUGGACUUGUGAGAAAUGGCAAAUGCCUAAGCAAUUGAGACCAUGAUUACGGUAUCCCUUUUCAUGGUUCUUGAAAUUGCUUAGACACACAGGUGAGCUAUCUACGGAAAGGGUGUAUGAAUCUAAAUUUCAGACUGUCCAGCUGAUUUCUGAGUACAUGUCAAAGCUAGUGGGAGCAUAAGUGUUAUGCUAAUAAUCAUCAUGUUAGUGGGAGCAUGAUAAUUAUGAUAAGUAUUGCAAGUUAGCAAUGUUAAUUAUAGAAAACAAAAGUUUCAAUUGGGAAAAAGUUGUUUUGCUAUAAUUAAGGGAGAGGAAAUUAUGCUUCAUCUCAAAUCUAUAAGCUUAGAUCGUGAGGUUUUAAUCAUUUAGUCAAGGAUAUAUAUGAAUUUCAUGUUGGAAUGGCUCAACAUAAGGAAAUUCUGUAUAUGGGUCCAUUAUUUGCGUUCUAAAAUUCGAUUAUGAUUACGGCAUCCCUUUUCAUAAUCUGAAUUAUGAGAACUUGGCAAAUUGAAAUGGAAAUAUUAUAGCAAAAGACUGGUUUAGUCUUUAUGUAAGACAUCAUGAAUCGUGUCCCAUAUGCUUCGGAUAUAGGAUCGAUUACAUGUGCUAUAUUCAUCCGUUCUAAAAUUUUCCAAAUGCCUGGGGCAUUAAGAAGGGAAAAGGUUUAGAACUGGAUAUGACUAAAAGGAUUAAACAAUUGUCGAGGACAAUCUAAGGUUUACCAAAGAUUGGUUACUCAAGGACAAUUGGAAGUAUAGUGAUAAUUCUGGAAGGACCAUAUUGACAUAAUCUGUAAGGAGGCAACUCUUGUUCAGAAGUGAUAGUCAAAAUGGAAUCUGGAAAUGUUUCAAAGUUAGAAUUUUCAAUCUGUGUAAGAUUAAGGAAACUUAAUGCAAGAAGGAUAUUUCCAAGGAGUUGAUCUCCUUUGGAAUACUCUGUAAUGAUUGUUGCCAAGUCUUUGUGACUUUGUGCAUAAUCAUUACAAGAGGAUCAAUGCAUAUAAGUUUAGAAUCUAACAGAUUUCAGUAAAUGGCAUGAAUUUGGAAUUCUUGCAUUUGCAGUAAGGAUUUGGGAGUGUGAAAAGAGAAUCAUUGAAGUUAUGUUCAAUUGAUCUAGUUCACAAAGUAAAGAUCAUAGACAAACAUAGUAUGCAUACUUGGUGUGUGGCAUGACUAGUGUUUAAGAAAACAUAGUGUACAUGCUUGGAGCAUGGGACAACUAUUGUUUUAAAUUCAAGAAUAAAGUUGAUAGCUGAAACAGUAUACAAUGAAUAAUGUGUAAUCAUAUGGUGAUAAAUAAAAGGUGUUUUAUUUAUGUUCAAAGGGUUGAUACCAUAUUGGAUUCAAUUAUUAUUGUGUUUCAUUUUGCAUGUUUUGACUUCCCGAAUAAACUGGGUUAUUCUUCCGGAAUGACUAAGUUAUUCAAACCAUCCACAGUCGGUCAUAUGUUGGAAGUAGAUAUGAAUUAAGACUGUCAUGGGUUGGCUUGUAGAGGUCUAAGGUGUUGGACAAAGGGCUACAACACUCAUGAGUGCUCAUAAGUUCUGAGUAUUGGAUUCAACCCGCGCUCAUUGGAAUCACUUCAUGGAUUUUAUCACGAGUGAUCAUGAGACGAUAAUAUCUUAUAUUCUUCAAACCUAGAGAUAUGAGUUGUUACUAUGAGUUGAUAGUACAUUGAUUGCACGAAAACGCAUUUGGUAACUCGGUGCUAUAAAACGUGCCUUUGUGUAUGAUUCAACAAGUAGUAGAACAAGCCAUAUGAGUCGAAGUUUAUCCAUUCCUUUUACCUUCGGGAUAAAAGCGAUAUCUGUGGGCCCCUCGAUGAUUUGAUGAUGACAAAUGGAAGUGCUCGGCCGGGCCAGGACUGAUUUGAUUUGUUCAAUUAGUCAGUCGUCAUAAAUCGGAAAUCGGGAAACAACAAAUGGACAGAGAGAAUGAUUAUAAUCCAUGUCUCAGUCCAUAUGAUAUCUAGAAUGGAGGAAUAUAUGAUCCCUUAUCUAAUGGACAAGUCACUGACAAAGGUCAGAGUUCAUCUACAAGGUCAGAGUUCGACAGAAGCUUUUGAGAGCUACGAUUGCCAGUUGGUUCCUGAAGUCAUACGCAAUAAUAGUUUUAGACUUAUCCAAGUGGGAGACUGUUGGAUUAAUGUCUAAGUCCAUAACUAUAAUUGGUAAGACUUGACCCGACCCGGCAUGGUCCAUUUGGGUUGCAUACCAUCAUGCACUUGGAUAGACUAUAAUGAGAGAAAUAAGACACUUAUGGUUAUUAAUAUAUUAUAAGUUCUAGUAUAUUAAUAAUAAGAAUAAUAAGAUUAUUUAAUUAGUAUUGAUCAAGAAUUAAUCUAGGAUUAAUUAAGUGAUCAAAAGAAGACUAAUUAAAUAUAUGGGUUGAUUGUGUAAAUCAUCCAUACUUGUAUAGUGGGCUAAUGCUCCAUGGAUAAUCAAGUUGGGCUAAAACCCAUAGGAUGGUCCAUGGAUGCUCCAUGGUGUAUUUGUACCCAUGGAUCAUGGAAAUGAAAGGCCAUGUCAAUUAGGGUUUACAUGGUGUAACCCUAACUAUAUAAGCAUCUUAUUCUUGACCAAAAUCGGCACUAGUGUGUGAAAAGAAAGGGCUAGCCGAUUUCAUGAGUUGUAGAAUUCUCUCAAGCUAUUCUAAGUGUUUUGAUGAUUGUGAUUCCAUUUGAGGUGUCACACUUGGGGCACUAGGCACUCAAGCUUCAUGAAGACUUUCUACACCAAAGAGGUAUGUAUUCUAUCUUGCACUAGUCAUUGUUUUGUAUGCUAGAUUAGGAUAAUACCUUGUAAGUUCUUAUUUGCAUGUAUAAUAGAGAAAACAUAGAUCCAAGGUAUUUAGGGUUGCAUGUACACUUAGGAGUGUUAGAAUGCUCAAAACCCAACAAU